rnacentral:rRNA from 1 species
GGGUGGUAAUGCCGGAUGCUCCAGUUGAUCGCAUGGUCUUCUGGGAAAGCUUUCGCGGUAUGGGAUGGGGUCGCGUCCUAUCAGCUUGACGGCGGGGUAACGGCCCACCGUGGCUUCGACGGGUAGCCGGCCUGAGAGGGCGACCGGCCACAUUGGGACUGAGAUACGGCCCAGACUCCUACGGGAGGCAGCAGUGGGGAAUAUUGCACAAUGGGCGCAAGCCUGAUGCAGCGACGCCGCGUGAGGGAUGGAGGCCUUCGGGUUGUAAACCUCUUUUAUCGGGGAGCAAGCGAGAGUGAGUUUACCCGUUGAAUAAGCACCGGCUAACUACGUGCCAGCAGCCGCGGUAAUACGUAGGGUGCAAGCGUUAUCCGGAAUUAUUGGGCGUAAAGGGCUCGUAGGCGGUUCGUCGCGUCCGGUGUGAAAGUCCAUCGCUUAACGGUGGAUCCGCGCCGGGUACGGGCGGGCUUGAGUGCGGUAGGGGAGACUGGAAUUCCCGGUGUAACGGUGGAAUGUGUAGAUAUCGGAAAAGAAACACC